rnacentral:rRNA from 1 species
GACGAACGCUGGCGGCGUGCUUAACACAUGCAAGUCGAACGAAGAGCGAUGGAAGCUUGCUUCUAUCAAUCUUAGUGGCGAACGGGUGAGUAACGCGUAAUCAACCUGCCCUUCAGAGGGGGACAACAGUUGGAAACGACUGCUAAUACCGCAUACGAUCUAAUCUCGGCAUCGAGGAAAGAUGAAAGGUGGCCUCUAUUUAUAAGCUAUCACUGAAGGAGGGGAUUGCGUCUGAUUAGCUAGUUGGAGGGGUAACGGCCCACCAAGGCGAUGAUCAGUAGCCGGUCUGAGAGGAUGAACGGCCACAUUGGGACUGAGACACGGCCCAGACUCCUACGGGAGGCAGCAGUGGGGAAUCUUCCGCAAUGGACGAAAGUCUGACGGAGCAACGCCGCGUGAGUGAUGACGGCCUUCGGGUUGUAAAGCUCUGUUAAUCGGGACGAAAGGCCUUCUUGCGAACAGUUAGA